rnacentral:misc_RNA from 1 species
GAUGAAGAACGUAGCGAAAUGCGAUAAGUAGUGUGAAUUGCAGAAUUCAGUGAAUCAUCGAAUCUUUGAACGCACAUUGCGCCCCUUGGUAUUCCAUGGGGCAUGCCUGUUCGAGCGUCAUUUGUACCUUCAAGCUUUGCUUGGUGUUGGGUGUUUGUCUCGCCUCCGCGUGUAGACUCGCCUCAAAACAAUUGGCAGCCGGCGUAUUGAUUUCGGAGCGCAGUACAUCUCGCGCUUUGCACUCACAACGACGACGUCCAAAAGUACAUUUUUACACUCUUGACCUCGGAUCAGGUAGGGAUACCCGCUGAACUUAAGCAUAUCAAUAAGCGGAGGGA